UUCCAGACUCCUACGGGAGGCAGCAGUGGGGAAUAUUGCACAAUGGGGGAAACCCUGAUGCAGCAACGCCGCGUGGGUGAAGGAGCGUUUCGGCGCGUAAAGCCCUGUCAGCGGGGAAGAAGAAAGACGGUACCCGACCAAGAAGCCCCGGCUAACUACGUGCCAGCAGCCGCGGUAAUACGUAGGGGGCGAGCGUUAUCCGGAAUUACUGGGUGUAAAGGGAGCGUAGACGGCGAGGUAAGCCUGAAGUGGAAGCCCGCGGCCCAACCGCGGAACUGCUUUGGGAACUGUUUUGCUGGAGUAUGGGAGGGGUAAGCGGAAUUCCUGGUGUAGCGGUGAAAUGCUUAGAUAUCACGAAGAACCCCGAUUGCGAAGGCAGCCUGCCGCAGCGUUACUGACGCUGAAGCUCGAAAGCGCGGGUAUCGAACAGGAUUAGAUACCCCGGUACA
rnacentral:rRNA from 1 species